rnacentral:miRNA from 1 species
CAGCACACUCUAGGCCUCGGGUUCGGGUUCUGUAGGGUCUAAGCUGCUGAAAAAGCUUCUACCUUAAGGGGGCCUCAGGGAGAGAAGAGUUG